CAGAGGUGAACAGAGACAUUUUGCCUGCCAAGUUCAGGCCUUCAGGUUUCUGUGUUUUCUCUGCACUAAAUGAUUACUAACACCUAAAGCAGAGGGCUAUAUUUCUUCUGACAGCUUUAGAUGUCAGCUCUAUCUACUGCUGAAGGGAAAACAGUAAAAUUCAUGCCAAUGUAUAGGCCUUGUUUUGUGCCUCUGCACAGGAGAAAAUUUCACUUAUCAUCCUGAGAGAUUUAAUUCAUAUUUUAAAGAACUUAUAAAAAGCUUCGAGAUAAGACUAAACAAGGGGGGAGAAAAAGACACAUUUUAUAUAGAACUUCGUUAAGGCCCCAGUCCAGCAAAGCACAUAAGCAUGUGGGUACCCCAGUUGAAAUUGAUGGGACUACUUACAUACUUAAAGGAAUACUGCAUACAAUUUGGGUCAUCAACUGUAAAAGGAAGAAAGAAUAUAACUGAACAAAUAGGAUACGAAAAAUUUUGAAGAGAAUGGAUUAGGAGGAAAAUGUACAGGAAUGAAAUAUGUAUAGUCUGGAAAUAUUAUAUGGUCCUAUGUACUAAUUAAUAUUUGUAAAGUACCUAGAAGAUGUAAAUUACUUAUGUAUGCUACAGAAAACAUCCGAUAAGUGAAGAAUGAGAUACUACAAA